AAAGAACCAGCCUCAUGUGUCCGGCUGGGCUGAGAACUGCCAGCCCAGACCGCCUGACACCUGUGCCCCACAGGGCACCCUCCAGUGGCUCCCACCUCUGUGCCUGCCUGAAGGGGCCUCAAGGCUGCAAAGCACCCCAAGUGGGUCAGCCACACCCAGCCUAGCACAGCCACCUUGUGAGGGCUCUGCCCAAGCCCCACAGCCCUGCAGCCAUCUGUGGGGAGCUACUGAUCACCCAGAUGUGAUCUUGCAGAUGCACAGAAGACCGGGUUUCCACCACCCUGAGCCAAGGAGGCCUCUACCAUGGAGAGAGGCCAUCAGAGACCAGUGUCCGGCAGCGCCCUGCCUGGCCCCAGAGCCUGGGGCAAAAGGGAACGUCAGGACCACCGACCCUUUUCCUCCAAAACUUCAAUAUUUCCUUCCUCAUAGAUAUCUUGCAUUCAUUUUGCAUUAACUUUAUUUAAAACAUUGCAUUAAAACAUCAUUUCUGCCUCUCUCCUCACACUGGUCCCACCCUGGCCUCUCUGUGGGAUGUCCCUGCCACCCUGACCCCUCUCCAGCCCUCCAGACACUGAUGGCUGCAAGCUUUACAUGGGUGGCCCACCAGGCCCUGCAGCAAGUAACCCUCCUGCAAGCUCCUCCUGUCCCCAGAGUGUCUGUUGUCACCAGGACACAUCAAAAUGGCUGAACACUAGGUGGCUCCCCUCCCAAGGGGCAUUUUGGAACUUCAGGAAGGGCUGUUUUGAGUUGUCACAAUGACCUUCAGUAAAUACACAGGCCAGCCCUGCAGGUAACUCUGUCCCUGGUCUUGCCAGACGUUCAGGAAAGCAUCUCCUGUGUCCAUUGAAGGGAGGACACGUUGCUGCGUUUGGAACUUGACCACCUGGGAAAGUCACAUCACAGGUACAUGCUCAGCUGCUGGAGUCUGGAACGCCAGGCCUGGCCCGUCCGCAUCAGCCAUGGGGGCUGGCACGGGGAUAAGAUGACACAGGCAUGCCUCGGGGGGGCUUCUGGGCUCCCCUUGGAGACAGAGCCAGGCCUUUACAUAUUGAAAAACAUAUGAUUUUAUCAUACAAUUUCCCUUUAAUUCCUCCUCCAUAUAACAGGGCGUUAUAUUGACUCUUGCAAAAUUGUGUGUGAGGUGAGUUAUCUCUCAGCUAUGAUUUUCUUUUCAGAUGGUACAGGGAGUGCCCCUGGCCUGAGGAGGGUGAGGAUGAGGGGUCGUCAGUGGCCCAGGAUGCCCCUCACCUGGGAGCAUUACAAAAUGCUGGUGCCCAGGCUGCACCCCAGGAUACUGAUAUAUGUGGUCCAGGAGCAGCCUGGGUUGGGCUGGGGGCAUUCUCCAGAGCAGCUGAGGUUAGGAGUCCCCGGGCCGGAUGCAUUCAGUCCCAUCAAGGAGGUUAUCUGGGCGCUCUCAGCCUCCGUUUUCUCAUCAGCGAAAUGGGAAUGAUGAGACGGCCCAAAGCCAUCCACAGACAUUGGGAAUGGCUGCCUUCAUUCCUUCAUUCUCCCUCCAGUUCUCCUGACCUGAAGGGUAUAGGAGCUGAAAGCCUGCGCCUCCUUGGGACAGCCUACCCGGGGCUCCCCAUUCCUCCGUUGUCAGGGAAAGUAACUCAGUUACAGGUGGCCAAUCUAAUGUGGCCGAUAGGAUAAUUGGCCAAUAGGAUAAUAGGGCCCCAGCGUACGUAGUAGUUGUGUGUUACCAGGGCCAUGGCAAAGGCCCGAGAUUCUCAGGGAGGAGAGGACACAUAGAGGCUGCUUUACCUGCAGCCACCAGCUCGGGAACAAAGAUCUUUACAAAUGAGCGGCUGUGCGCUGACAUCCGGGCGAUCAUGGAGAUCCCCGGGGGUGAGGCUCAGGGACCCCCAGGCACCAGCACAUUCUCAACCCCAGGCCAUCUGGCUCCAAGCUCCUGCCCAAAGUUGGCAGGCUGGGGGCUGCUAUGAGGCCCAGCUGCAGCCAACUCCCUAGAACCCUGGGCCGUUUAUAAGGGAGUGACAGAGGCCUGCGGUCUUGAGGACGCCCGAGGAGGGCUGCUGCCCCUCUGAGCCCCUGAGCCGUUGAGCCCCCUCGCCUCCCCACAUGGGUGGCAUGUGAGGGCUGCUCCUGCCUUCCCCCAGCCCCUCCAGGGGAAAAAGAAUGGAAUGACAGGGUGCCAGCUAGUGAUGAGCUGAGCCCAACCCCAGCACAGGGCCUGAGUGGGACUCAGGGAGACGAUUACGGGCAGCAUGCAGCUGUUUCUCAGCCCUGUCGGCCAUGGCCCGAGACUCCCUUUGUUCCCGAGGGAGGGGAUGGCUGGGCUCAGGGGUGGCCUUGUGGGUGGGGGCUCCUGGCCGACUGCCUGCCCUUGCAUCUCCGCUGCCCGCCAGCGAGGAGAUCACUCAGGCCCUGAUACGAUCGCUUCGGGACAGGCGGAAAUUGGAAUGUCCCGGGUGCUUGAUCGAGGCAGCUUUUGAGCUGCGGCCACAGGGACAUUAGAAGCCAAUGUAAUGGCCUCAUUCAGCUCCCCUUGCAGCCCCGUGACCUUGGACAGGCUGAAAGCCUGUGUGCUGUUUUGAUGAAAAAUCAGGAGUUAGGGAAGUGAGGGAGGCUGGCACGAGGGCAGGGUGGCUGGGCAGGAGCUCUGGUGUGCUGCUGUCCGUCUGUCUGUCCUCACUGGCUUCAGGCCACCUGCCCCCUACGACGGGCCAUCCGUCCAUGCUGGCUCCCUGACAACAGAGCCUGAGGACCCCAAAGGGACAAAGAAAUCCCCACCCCAGGUGACCCUGGGUACAACCUGUGAUAAGGAGGCUGGGGCCUCAGCUGGGGAGGGGAGGGGCUCUCACAGGACAAAGGGACCCCCCCCACCUGAGCUCCCACUGGGGCCUCAGUCUCCCCAUCUCCAGUAGCUCAGCCACCUCCGCCUCCCCUAGUGGCAUCUGAGGGCGUCAAUGGAGCACUGCUGUGUGUCCCCUGUCCACAAGGCCCCUGCUGUUGGGCUAUCACGCAGCCCCUCUUCCAAUGGAAACCGAGGUGACUCACCCCAGGCCACACUGCACAGGAUGGGACAGCCCCUGGCGGGCCUCCCCUCUGCUACUCAAGCCCCAGGCUCUUGUGUAAAGACAGCCAGGCCAGGACCCUUCUCCCACGUGUCCCAAGUCCAAAGUCAAGAAACCUUGUCCACCCCAAAACCCUGCUCAGCUCCUGGGGCUGGCACUUCUCGGCCAGCACCUGCCCAGGCAGAGCCCAUGAGGCCAGCCCUCCCCUCACUGUCUGCAGCUGCCUCCAAACCCGUUUGACAAAUCGGCUCUGAUGAAUAGUGCCUGGGCCGUGUCGGAGCAUCUGGGGGCUCACAGCCCUCCUUCCCUCCAGGGCCCUGGCUGAAAAGCCAGCAGGGUCUACAGCCACGUGAAAGGCCCACAGAGGGGCCACCCCCUCACAGACACACACAAAGGCAUUGCGACCUCAGGCUGACCCCAGCCUUGAACCAAGAGCUGACGGAUAUGGGGCGGGGCUGGGGGCUGCCCAUCACUCUCCCAAGUUGGGAGAGGGGUCUUCCUGUACUGCCCCACCCCUCCCCAGAGGUGCAGGAGGCAUUGCCCAGCAGACCUAGGAGAUGAGGGUGGGGAGAAUUCAGAUAGGAUGGCCCUGUCACUGCUUCCCCUCCCCCAGGCCUAGGAUUCUGUCCCGGGGCUGAGUCUUCUCCCAGCCUGAGCCCCUUCUGUUGGGCUCCUCCCGCCCACAUAGUCCAGAACCAGUGGAUGGAGCCAGCUGGAAACCAGGUGGGCUCCCUGAGGGAAACUGCCUGGGAACCUUUGCUCUCUCUUGGCUCUGCUCUGUUCUCCACUGGCCCCUCCUGGACCUCCCCUGGGAUUCUGGAAGGAAGGGCCCCUCCCCAGAUGGAUCAGACCCUCUUGUCCCAGUCUUGGGAACCUCCAGGCCAAGCUUCCACUCCCUGAGCCGAGUGUCCCCUUAUCAGCAUCCUGGGCAGGCAGGAGCAGGCAGCCCCACUCUGAGGUCAGAACAGGCAGCCCCACUCUGAGGUCAGGAUGAGGGAAAACAAAAUGCACACUGGUAAUAGCCAGUGGGCACAAUGCUCUUCCCAGAGGACAAGCUUUUCAAUAUUGUAAUUCUCACAGCAACCCCACUCAGCAGGGGCUGAGUGACAGCCCAGCAGCAGGGGCCAAGUGACAGCCCAGCAGCAGGGGCCAUGUGGACAGAGGACACACAGCAGCACUCCACUGACGCCCUCAGAUGCCACUAGGGGAGGCAGAGGCAGCCGAGCUACUGUCUGACCUGAAGUCAGACAGGUCCCACCUUCCACUUUCUGGUUUUCCUACUACUUCCUGUUCCUUUUUAGAAAGUGACGAAAGGUCCCUUUUCCAUGAUGGGAAUAUUGAGGCAUGAAGGGUUAAAUUGGCACCCCACCUGGCCCUGUCUACCACUACUCACAUCCCAUGUCCCUCCUUAUCCCCUCAGGGGCCCCUCACUCAGUACCACAGACACCCUCACUUCUACAAGAAGGCUUGGAUGGUUCAAUCCCUGUCCCCAGAGACGAUGAGCCCUAGAACCCUUAUCUGUGUAUCCUCCUCGUUCUUGUUCCCAGCAUGUUGCACACAACCUGCAUGCAGUAGGUAGUGAAAAAUGCUGACCUACCAGGCCACUCCUGGAGUUGCAGAGGGACCACCCUGUAGUUGAGGCAGAGACCAGGUUCUCACAUGCUCCACUGGCCCAAGAAGGGAGGAAAUGGGGGCCAGGAGGUGAGGGAAUUCCCUUUACCACAUGCUCCCCAGGGCCUGGCUGAGCCGGCUGCUCUAUCUACACCUCCCCUCAUAACUCCUACUGGUGAGUCAGAUGGUCUCCCUUGGUUAGGAGAAUGAGGCCCAAACAGGUGAAAUUACUUGAGUUUGAUUACUUGGGAGCUAGAGGCAGCCCUGGAGUUUGAGCCCCAGGUUUUGACACCACCCCACACUGGCUCUCGUGAUACCUGACACAUAGUAGGUGCUCAACAAAGGUCAUAGGACAGAAAGCCCCUGAAGACUAUUACAGCUGCAAACACUGCCCCUCGCCCACCCCAGAGGGCACAUCCUCCACCAAUCUGCAAGGGCACCAGCUGCCCUUGCCCUAUGUAUUCAUGGUUGUUCAAAGCCCUGUGGGGUUUUUAAUCAUCCCCCAUGUGCACACAGGCGUGAUUUAUAAAGUGGGUCUUAAACGCCACCGCCUCCAAUCAGCAGAUGAAUGCAAGGUCUUGGCAGCAUCCACUGGGCUGUGCAUUUGGUCCUGAAUAAGUCACCCUUGACAAUUCCUGCCAUGGUGCCAACAGCAACAAAUGAGACAUGUCAUCCCCUUUGCAGGGGCUGGGGGCAGUCACACCCUUGCCAGGCCAGAGGGCAGUGGGAUUGUGGCUUCUAAGGGUCCUGGAAGGACAAUGACAUUGCUGCCCACAGUGGCCGUGCCAUGUGGCCUCCUCCACAACCCCAGCCAGGUGGACUUGGGGUAUGAAGCCAGUGAGGGCAGGAGUGCAAGGCUUGGGUGAAGCUCUUGGGGGUAGGAGCAGGGAAGAGCAAGCCUCAGGUGCAGGGGGGCAGGGAGGGUGGGAGAGACUUACACCCUCCCCGUUCUGACCUCAACCCUCCUUUCCACUCCAGGGUGCCUCCAAUGGCAGCCCCAUCUCCCAGCCCUGAGUCGCCAUCACUCCUCUCUUGGGGCCUCCCCUGUGGGCUACCCUCUGCCUUCUUUCUCCACAGCAGCUAAAAGGCCAGGGAGGAGGCGUUAGAUCUGGAGGCCAGACUCUGCUGAUGAGCAGCUCAUAAGUGAUGGCAUCUCUUGGCCUCAGUUUCCCCAUCUGUAAAAUGGGUGCCUAUGCUACGAGGAUGUGGUAUGUUUUCAGUGAGGCACAAUAAGUAAGGCAGUGGCAUGGAGCUCAGGGAAUGCCCCAGCACCCCACCUCUCGGCACAAGCCACCCGAGCUCUCCUCCUGAGGAGAAGGGUGAGCCCCUGGCUCCCGGCUCCACCGCCUGGACUUCUCUCCAGCCACCAACCCGAGUCUCAGCCCCCCACCCCCUGCAGCCUUGGAGGCCGCUGGGCAGCGGCUCUGGCUCACUUCUGCUAAUCCAUAGGGCCCCAUGGGCCUAGCCCUGCCAAGUUCAGGCAGCUCCAGCCCCAGCACCCCCAGCAAGGGAGGCCUCCGUGGAGCUGCGGCCUAGUUGGCCACACACCGUCCACGUGGUUGGGUUGGUUUGUGGCAGAAAGGCUGAUGGGCCAGAACUCAGAGGGGAACUGGAAAUCUCCAACCAGCGGGACGAACUGGCUCCAACGUGGCCAGGAGAGGUCCCUCGGGGGCCCCUCUAGUGCGUAGAGACCCUGCCACACUGGUGUGGGAGGUCCAGGGCCCGAGUAACACACCCAGUUGCUGUGGACCUGGGAGCCGAGGUUCUGAGCUCUUCGCCCUGCUUGUCCCCCAGUGUGUGCCAAGACUUCCCUUGCCAAAUAAUUUCCCAAACAGGUUUUCAGAAGAGAGUUGGCAGAGAGUGUUCUGGCUGUGUCUAAAGGAGACAAAGGAAAGCGGAGAGUCAGCAUUUGCUGGGGCUGCUUUGACCCCAGCAGAGCAUUUUGGCCCCAUGAAUGAUGAUUGCAAUGUGUUCAUGGGUGACAUGAUGAAGAAACUGGGAGGGCACUGAGACUCGGUUUCCAAAUCCACUGGGGGUGCUCAUUCUGGCUGCUGGGGAGCCUCUGCGGCGGAGGCAGCAACUGGGGCCACCCUGGGGGCUGUGGCCCUUCAGCGCCAGGGCCAUGGUCACAGCGGACAGCCUGGAACCCCAGCCACCAGCCUCCAUUCCCGGGGCCUCUCGGAGAUGAGGUUUGUACCAGGGACUCACAAGCCCCCUCCCCAGCCUGGGCUCUGUUGAUGACAAAGUCUUCCCCCGCCGAUGCUCAAACAAUAAGUUUGAUGAGCAGUUCUGCACCCUGAGUCCACGCAGCUGCCCCUCUCCGAGUGUGUAAAUGUCCUUCAUUUUAGGCAGUCCUGGCGAUUGCAGUCGGCAUCUGGAGAUGUGGUUGGUUUCCUUGAGUGUCUGUAAGAAUUGGCCACUCUGUUAGUCCUCAGAUGGCUCCCUGGGCUUGGACUAGACUUGGGCUGGACUUGCUGUAGGGUUAGGGUUAGGGUUAGGGUUAGAGUUAGGACCAGGGGAUCCAGGUCCUAGCAAGCAACACGUGUUCACUGGAACUUGCUCAAGGGCAGGAGAGACUGGAAAUGCCUCAUGAAGAAAGGCUGGUGUAGGGGCCACCCACCGUCUCCACUGCCGGCAGCUCAGGGGCGCCAGGAGAUGGCCACCAUUUUGUCCAUGGGAACCUGGGAUCCUCGUCUCUAGGCCCAUUAGUGUGCACCCUGGCAUACAUCGAGUGGGGGUCUUCCCUGCCUCUGUGCCCCGCCCCCACCUCUCUGACUGCUGCUUAAAGCACUCAGUGGCAGCAGGCUCCGGCCAGCAUUUGAAGUGAGACCCUACUCCAGGGCUCAGGGAGGCCAGGUCGCUGGCCAGGGGCACAGUCACCAGGGGACAAGAACUGAUCAGUGCACCCCCCACCAAACAAUCCUCAGCCCCGGGCGCCCCGCUGUACGGGGCCGUGAGCCCUGACACCUUGGGCCUGAGCCCCAGAGUCAGAUUCGUUUUUCUCAAAACCCACGCCGGGAGACCCAAUCCUGGAAGGGGACCAGUAGAAAUUCUCUGCAGCCAUCACGCAUGCUUGGCUGAGCCCCCAGCCCCACAAGGCAGCCCUGCCACUCCUCCUCCAGGCAGCAUGCUGGGUAGCCAGUCUCCCUGAGCUCCCAGGCAGCUGGGCCUCAGCUCAGGGACAGGGACAGGGACGUUUCCCCUGGAGGCUUCCAGGGCCCAGGACCCACCCCUUGUGGUGCAUCCUUCACAUCCCCAGCUCAGAAAGUUCUUUCCCAGGGAAUGCCCACCCAGCCCAGCCUCAGGAGCUCUUGCCCACGCCUCAGCUCUGCGUCGCUCUUCCUGCAGUCGGAAAGCACAGGCUCCGUGGACGCAGAGGCCACUCCUCAUGCCCUACACCGUCCUCCUUUCCUGUGCCAGUGACAGCGCCACCCCCUGACCCGCCAACUCUCAGGUAAGUCACUGAGUCACUAAGCACUCGAAUCAUCUCACCAAAGCUGGGGACAAAGGGUCUUUGUCCUGCUUCAGGAGACAAUGUCCCAACACGUUGCCGUCCCCCAAAUGUCCCCAAGCCACGCUGGAUGUCUCACCUGUGUCCACCAGCUCCAGUUUCUCACUCAUUCAACAACUCACCUUGAACCUAGACGUAAACAAGAUGGAGCACCAUCUUGUUCAUCGUGCGGCCCCUGGUGUGUUGGGAAGACAGGUUGGGAGGACGGCAGUGGUGGUGGGGAGGGGUUGCUCCCGGAAGGGAUGAGGAGAAGGCAGUACAGUGCCCCUCGAGAAUGGAGUGGGUUUGGCAACACAGAGGUCACUGGAGACCUUGGUGAGACCUCUUUUGAUGCUCAAUGCUCCACUGGUUUAGUGGAGCUUCCAAUUCCAGGAAGGGAAACUGACAACUCAUUAGUGAACAUGAAUAUAGUUUCUACACAGCAAAUCGAACAAGUAAGGGACUGGGAACAGUGGGGAGCAGGUGUGGGGGAGGGCAGGACCCUGAGGAGGGGACACAUGAGCUGAGGCUGAAUACAGUGAGGGUGGGGACCCUGAGAAUAGCUCGGUGCAGGGCGGGCAUUACAGGUUAGGGAAUGGCGAGUACAAAGGCCCUGGGGUGGGAAUGAGCUACACGCUGGACCCAGGGAACCUGGCAGAACACAGUGUGGCAGGGUGCCCAGGAGGGUGUCACGGGGUUGGCAGAGCCAGAUGGAGAAUGGGGGCUAUUUAAGGAAUGGGAAGACGGGGGAGGUCAGGUUUCCGGCAUGGACGUGCUGCUGUGAGCUGUUGGCAAUUGUCCGAUUCAGCCUGUAAGCUGUUGAGACGCUGAGGUGCUGAGUGGGCGGACAAACAUCUGGAUCGCAGGGUGGAGGUCAGAGGAUCGCAGGAUGGAGAUCAGAGAGGUCAGAGCUGGGUAGACGCAUGUGGGGCUAUCACCAUAGGAAUGGCAUUUAAAGGGACUGGACUGUCGGCCGGGCACAGUGGCUCACGCCUGUAAUCCCAGCACUUCAGGAGGCCAAGG